GAGGGUGGGGGAUAACCACUGGAAACGGUGGCUAAUACCGCAUAAUGUCGCAAGACCAAAGUGGGGGACCUGAAAGGGCCUCACGCCCGUGGAUGAACCCAGAUGGGAUUAGCUGGUAGGUGGGGUAAUGGCUCACCUAGGCGACGAUCCCUAGCUGGUCUGAGAGGAUGACCAGCCACACUGGGACUGAGACACGGCCCAGACUCCUACGGGAGGCAGCAGUGGGGAAUAUUGCACAAUGGGCGCAAGCCUGAUGCAGCCAUGCCGCGUGUAUGAAGAAGGCCUUCGGGUUGUAAAGUACUUUCAGCGGGGAAGGAAGGGGUUGAUUUGAACAGGGUCAAUUCUUGACGUUACCC
rnacentral:rRNA from 1 species